GAGCCCAACAAACGCACACACUCACGCAGGGCCUAUGUUCUGGCUUCUGAGCCCAGGCGGCUGGUCUCGGCGGCAGCCAGGCCUCUUACGGGCUGCCCUGCUCCCGCGGUGCCCCUGAACUCAGAAACCUGGGGGUCGUGGGAGGGAAGGGAGUGUCUGCUUUGCUCUCGAGGGAGCCCCCAGUGACUGCAGCAGGAUGGGUGGGCGGCCCUCGAGUCCCCUGGACAAGCGGCGGCAACAGCACCUGAGAGGCCAGGUGGACACCAUGCUGAGGGACUUCCUGCCCUGCUAUCGCGAGCAGCUGGCGGCCUCUGUCCUGCGACAGAUCUCCCGUGAGCUGGGGCCCCAGGAGCCCGCCGGAUGCCAGCUGAUGCGCAGUAAAAAGCUUCCCCGAGUCCGUGAGCACCAAGGGCCUCUGACCCAGCUGUGGGGCCACCCGCCUCGGUGGCAGCCGAUCUUCUGUGUCCUGCGGGGGGAUGGCCGCCUGGAGUGGUUCAGCCAUAGGGAGGAAUAUGAGAAUGGGGGCCAUCCCCUCGGCUCCGUGGCCUUGACAGGGUAUACUGUCCUGACUUCCCAGCGUGAAUAUCUCUGCCUGUUGGAUGCUCUCUGCCCAGUCUCCUCAGGAGAACAUACCCAGGAAGAGCCCGAACCCCUCCUGGAAAUGCCCGUGAACUUCCCCCUGUUCCUGCAGCACCCCUUCCGCCGGCACCUCUGUUUCUCCGCGGCCACGGGGGAAGCGCGGCGGGCUUGGAGGCUGGCCCUCCAGGGUGGCAUCCGGCUCCGUGGGACAGUCUUGCAGCGCAGUCAGGCCCCCGCAGCCCGUGCCUUCCUGGACGCCUUAAGACUCUAUCGGCAGCGCCGAGGCCACUUUGGCGAGGACGACGUGACCCUGGGCUCGGAUGCCGAGGUGCUGACCGGGGUGCUGAUGCGGGAGCUGCUGCCGGCGCUGCGAGCCCAGACCCUGCCCGGCCUGCGGGGGGCCAGCCGCAACCGUGCCUGGGCCUGGACCGAGCUCCUAGACGCAGUCCACGCUGCCGUCCUGGCCGGGGCCUCCGCCGGGCUCCGCGCCUUCCAGCCGGAAAAGGACGAACUGCUGGCGGCCCUGGAGAAGAACAUCCGCCCGGACGUGGACCAGAUUCUGCAGCUGCGGGCGCGCGUGGCGCGGAGGCUGCGGGUGGAGGUCGAGGGUCCCCUGGAGUCCUGCCUGCGCGGGAGGGUGGACACACAGCUGUCCCGGGUCACGCAAAAGCUGCUGAGCACCGUGGAAGCCGUGCUCUCAACAGUGCAGGCCCUCCUAGCCCAGGGCAUGGACCGCCUGUCUCGCCACCUGCGUGGGAGCCCCUCUAGCACCCGCUUGCGCAAGGAGGUUUACUCGUUUGGGGAGAUGCCGUGGGACUCAGAGCUGAUGCACGCCUGCUACCGUGAGGCUGAGCGAAGCCAGAAGCGCCUGGGGCAGCUGGUGGCGCCAUUUGGCUUCUUUGGCACACGAAGCCUGGUAUUUGGGGCCCAGGAUCUCGCACAGCAGCUUAUGGCUGACGCCGUGGCCACCUUCCUACAGCUGGCGGACCAGUGUCUGACCACAGCCCUGGACUGCACCCAGGCUGCCCAGCAGUUGGAGAAAGUCAGGGGGCGUGUGCUGAAGAAGUUCCAGUCGGACAGCAGCUCAGCGCGGAGGAGGUUCAUCCGUGGAUGGUUGCUUUGUAUCUUCUUGCCCUUUGUGUUGAGCCAGCUGAAGAGUAGCUGCAAAGCGGAGCUGCCUGAGUUCGAAGGGGAGGUCCUCGCCGUGGGUAGCCCGGCCCUGACCAUCGAGGGUAUCUAUGAAGACAUUGUCCGGGGGGUCCUGCUGCAGAGGAUUGAUGGAGAACUGAAAAAGGCCCUUGGUGUCAGCGACAUGUCCUGCGCUCUGGAUGGCUGCUCAGAGGCCCCAUGGGACCCGACAGGAGCAGACGAGGAAACUGAGGCUCAGAGAGGGACUUGUCCCAGGCAACCAGGCUCUGGUGCCGAGGUCCAGCCGCUCUGCUCACGGCCUCCUCCAGGAACAUCCACAGCGGCGUCUCGACUGCAUCUCUCUUCGUUCCCAUCGGACAAAUAAGUCAAAGCAUCCACACCAUUUCAAGGCUUUUAUUUUUCUUUUAUUAUUAAAAAAAUUUUUUUUAGGGGCGCCUGGGUGGCUC